CUUUAAAGUUGGUAACAAAUAAUCAAUAUUAUAUUUGAUCCCUUGUAUGAAGGUAUUACAACAAUGAAGGCACUAUGCCUUUUGAAAGGAAGAAUAACAUUUUGAUCUUACCUGCUAAAACUGCCACACUCAAGAGUACUUCCUGGCUCCUAUGCUUAAUUAUGUAAUGGCAUCCAGCCAGGCUAUGAAGGCCUCUCACAUAAACCAGAAUCCAAUGAAAAUAAAAUGCCUGAGAGGAAAUGUUCAGACUCUCUGAUCCUUUACUGCCAAACUUUUGAGAAGGUUCCCGUGUUGUCUCACUUUUAUGGCAUUCUGUUCAAGACUGGGCAACCAAAUCAAGACAGUGCAAAGGCUUCUGAUUCUGGGAGGAGACCAAGAAGCCUUUGGGUCUAAUUUCACCAACAGAUGAGGGAAAAUGCCAUUCAGUGAGACCUUCCAAAAGGCUAUGGAAGAGACAUACGUAAGAUCUGAAAAUCUCUCUUGUAAGUUAGGAUACUGGGAUGCCUCCCACACUGAAUUAUGUGCGGGACACAUGUCUUUCUUAUCUUCCAGGUUGGUAUAUGUACAUCCUUAUUGGUUUAUGUAACAGUUGCUUCUUGUUCAUAAUGAAGUGCUAAUUCAGUCUUGUGUUUUGGAACAUGAGGUUCUAAUGCUAUCGCUAAUUGUACACCAGGGGCAUACUAUGGCACAAAAUCUCUAGUAAUAAUUUGGAAAUGGACUUCACACCUUCCAUGCCAGUAGCAUAGUCCAUUAGUAGAGCUUUGGCUCUGGUUGUAUGUUGUAUCAGCAAUUAAAAGCUCCUAAUGCAUGGAAGAGGCAGAGCAGCUUCAAUUCCUGUCAUUUUUGGCUGUUGAGGAGAAAGACUUGAAUGAGACCUGCCAAGUAGCAGCUUCAUAAGUUCUCCAGAUGAAGAGUCUUGUUUUUAGUAUGUUUCAUGUGGCUAAGGAUUCCAGGCUCUAUUUAUGAGGUACAGCAUUUACUUGCAGGUGAUUUUUCUUAUUUUCUUUUCAUUGUGUUUGGCACAGACUAGAUGAAAUUAGAAAUAUAUUGUUAUUACUGUUGUAGAGAUUCCUAAACUUUAAUUAAGAAAGAAGAGCCUUUUGAGAUGAUCAGAGACCUACUAUUAAGUCUGGGGUGGAAAGGCUGGCACCAACCCAUGAUCUGCUGGAGGUCUGUUAAAACAUGUUUCAAGUAUGCUCUGCUCUCUCAGUCCUACCCCUCAGUUGAGUGAAAUUUGCAUCCAUAUCACUAUUAGAAGCAAGUAUGUAUGGAGAGAGUUAUUUUGUGGUAAGAAAAUACAACACAGAAACAACUUCUGACCUUGGAUCAAUGCUCCUUGGAGUUGGCUGGAAUGUGUAGG
rnacentral:lncRNA from 1 species